rnacentral:rRNA from 1 species
UACGGGGGGAGCAAGCGUUGUUCGGAUUUACUGGGCGUAAAGGGCGCGUAGGCGGCCACCGCAAGUCGACUGUGAAAUCUCCGGGCUUAACCCGGAAAGGUCAGCCAAUACUGCGGGGCUAGAGUGCAGAAGGGGCAACUGGAAUUCUCGGUGUAGCGGUGAAAUGCGUAGAUAUCGAGAGGAACACCGGUGGCGAAGGCGGCCUGCUGGGCAGUGGCCGACACUGAGGCGCGACAGCGUGGGGAGCAAACAGG